AUUGAACGCUGGCGGCAGGCCUAACACAUGCAAGUCGAACGAGUGGCGGACGGGUGAGUAAUGUCUGGGAAACUGCCUGAUGGAGGGGGAUAACUACUGGAAACGGUAGCUAAUACUGCAUACCAUCAGAUGUGCCCAGAUGGGAUUAGCUAGUUGGGGGGGUAACGGCUCACCAAGGCGACGAUCCCUAGCUGGUCUGAGAGGUUGACCAGCCACUAUGGAACUGAACCACGAGCCAGAAUCCUAGGGGGGGCAGCAGUGGGCAAUAUGGCACUAGGGGCGCAAGCGUGAUGCGGCCAGGCCGCGUGUAUGAAGAAGGCCGUCGGGUUGUAAAGUACUUUCAGCGUGUAGGCGUUACCCGCAGAAGAAGCAACGGCUAACUCCGUGCCAGCAGCCGCGGUAAUU
rnacentral:rRNA from 1 species